AAUGCAUGACACCGUUAACUUUUUAUCCAACGUUUAACCAUUCGUCUUAUUUAAAAGAUUUAUAUAAUUAUCAUUUAUUUUAUUGUGACUUGAUUCGUCAUCAAAUGUUCUUUAAGCAUGACAUAAAUAUUUUUAUAUUUGCAUAAAAAUUUUAAAUAAAACGAAUGGUCAAACGUUGGUCGAAAAGUCAACGGCGUCAUACAUU
rfam:Oryza glumipatula chromosome 3, whole genome shotgun sequence.